CACGUAGGCGGAUCGGAAAGUCAGGGGUGAAAUCCCGGGGCUCAACCCCGGAACUGCCCUUGAAACUCCCGGUCUUGAGGUCGAGAGAGGUGAGUGGAAUUCCGAGUGUAGAGGUGAAAUUCGUAGAUAUUCGGAGGAACACCAGUGGCGAAGGCGGCUCACUGGCUCGAACCUGACGCUGAGGUGCGAAAGCGUGGGGAGCAAACA
rnacentral:rRNA from 1 species